GACGAACGCUGGCGGCGUGCCUAAUACAUGCAAGUUGAGCGCUGAAGGUUGGUACUUGUACCAACUGGAUGAGCAGCGAACGGGUGAGUAACGCGUGGGGAAUCUGCCUUUGAGCGGGGGACAACAUUUGGAAACGAAUGCUAAUACCGCAUAAAAACUUUAAACACAAGUUUUAAGUUUGAAAGAUGCAAUUGCAUCACUCAAAGAUGAUCCCGCGUUGUAUUAGCUAGUUGGUGGGUAAAGGCUCACCAAGGCGAUGAUACAUAGCCGACCUGAGAGGGUGAUCGGCCACAUUGGGACUGAGACACGGCCCAAACUCCUACGGGAGGCAGCAGUAGGGAAUCUUCGGCAAUGGACGAAAGUCUGACCGAGCAACGCCGCGUGAGUGAAGAAGGUUUUCGGAUCGUAAAACUCUGUUGGUAGAGAAGAACGUUGGUGAGAGUGGAAAGCUCAUCAAGUGACGGUAACUACCCAGAAAGGGACGGCUAACUACGUG
rnacentral:rRNA from 1 species